rnacentral:rRNA from 1 species
UAGGGAAUCUUCCACAAUGGACGAAAGUCUGAUGGAGCAACGCCGCGUGAGUGAUGAAGGUUUUCGGAUCGUAAAACUCUGUUGUAAGGGAAGAACAAGUACGAGAGGUAAUGCUCGUACCUUGACGGUACCUUGCGAGAAAGCCACGGCUAACUACGUGCCAGCAGCCGCGGUAAUACGUAGGUGGCAAGCGUUGUCCGGAAUUAUUGGGCGUAAAGCGCGCGCAGGCGGCCUUUUAAGUCUGAUGUGAAAGCCCCCGGCUCAACCGGGGAGGGUCAUUGGAAACUGGAAGGCUUGAGUACAGAAGAGAAGAGUGGAAUUCCAUGUGUAGCGGUGAAAUGCGUAGAGAUGUGGAGGAACACCAGUGGCGAAGGCGACUCUUUGGUCUGUAACUGACGCUGAGGCGCGAAAGCGUGGGGAGCAAACA